rnacentral:tRNA from 1 species
CCCCUUGUGGUGUAGUUGGCUAUCACGUUCGGUGAGCAUCCUAACAUGUUUCAGGUCGCUGGCUCGAUUCCGGCCGAGGGGA